CGACAGCUUCACGCAAGGCCACCGAGAGCCAACAGGCUGAAAAACACCGGCGGUGCCCGGUAACAGAAUUGACAAUGUGGCGCCUCAUGUACACGUCUGAAGAGGGAAGCGCCGGUGCCUUUUUCUCUGAAGUAAAAUUUUCCACAAGUAGAGUUUUCCGACUCUGCUGCUGCCACCACCGCAUUCUGACGGUAAACCAGCAGGCUGGGCGACCGGCCACAUUUUUAGGUUUUACCUUGGAUUGCCUGGCUGGUGGCAGCCAUUACCGAGCCCCGCUGACAGGAUUCAUGGAGGCUCCCGUUUGUAUCGUGCUCAGGUGUCGUUGGGUUCAGCCCAACCUGAGGAACACUCUACAGUAUGCCCGGGUUUGGUCGGGUGAGGAAGCUCCUAAGCGCCUCUCUCGGCUAGGGGCGCUACACCGCCGCACGCCGCCGCCGCUCCAAGCCCGUGGAGAGCGCAGGCGUGCCCGCGCACACGGAGACGGGACCUGCAGUCAACAGGGAUCACGCCCCAUCAAAAGCUGACACUGUGGCCACACGGAAGGCGAAUAUGAUCAAGCGGACUUUAGCCCACUCGCGACACAGGAUCACUCAGAGGAAGACCUGGUAUCCGGGUUCACCAGACCAUAGGACAGGCCACCCAGACCCAUCCAGAUUCACCGAUUGCUGGCAGCUCAUUUUCCUCGGAUGAUUUUAUCCACGCCCUUCUUGAAGUUCUUUAGGGAAUCAGUUUUAACAGCAUGGCUUGGCUAUUUGUUCCAUUCCCCCACAACCCUUUGUGUGAAAAUAUAUACACUGCUGGGAUAGCCAAGAUGUUUUCAGUGGCAGAGGGCAUUAGACAGCAAAGUAAAAUGUUUAUAUCAGCAUCUAUUGCUUUGAUUAGUUUGUGGGGGGGCUUUCAGAUGGUCACCACAUAGUCUGGUCACUCUGAGCCAAAAGGGAAACAAGAAAGGAGAAAGAAGGAAGAGAAAGCAAAAAAAAAUCAGCGUUCAGCAAUCAAAACUUGCACAGCUGCUGAAACAAGUCGGAUUUCCUCUUUACAGCACAUGCUUUUUGAUGUUUGGGAGCAGCCGGCCUGCAGCGUAUGUAAUGUACAGACAGAGCGUGCCGCUGGGCCUCUGUGUGUUCUUCACCUCGCGGGGGACUGGCCAGAGCGUUCCGUCGAGAGAGCCCCGCGCCUCACCUGAAGCCCGCGCGCCGAAGGUCUGGUCAACGCACUCGGACGAGCCGCCGGCUUCCGACUCGCAGGCUCGCACACCCCGAGGGGCUCUUCCCAAGAAAAACAAGAACAGGAGGGAUUUCUUCAUAUUCUCAAGGAUUCUCCGACAGCCUUGGCCGAGAGGCCGGGUGAGAUUCUGGAGGCAGCUGAACAAGAGAGACGGACCUUCCCGCUGUUUUCAGCAGGAAUUCUAAAACGAUUCUGUUUGUUAUUGUUCACAUUGUCUUUUUGACAGGUUGACUUCUUCCAUCUUUAGACUUGGGAGGUCCUGUUGAAAUCAGCAUCCAGGAGAUGUGAUUGUCUGCUGCACACUUUCUCUUCCAGACCGGGAUUUUGAUCCUUGCGCUGGAAGCUUUCAAAACCAGGCAAUGCAGGCAGCUAGCUGUGCAAGAAGAGUCUGUAGCACCAGAGGCGCAGCUGAGUCCAGAUCUGCAUCACUGAAAAAGAAAAGCAAGUUUCAAUCUAUGCAUCCGUUUUCUAACCUCUUCUAAUUCAGGAUCAGAGGGGAGCUGGCACCUAUCCCAGCCAGCAAUGGGUGACAGGCAGGGUGCCAGUCCAUC
rnacentral:lncRNA from 1 species